CUCCCACAUAGAUGAACCUUACAUAUUUAAUACAGUGCAUGACCCCCGUAGAAAUGAAAGGAAAUUAAAUCUAAUUGUUUCUAGAUGAAUAUGCCUGUUGAUUUCCGCAUGUCACCUCAACGUGGGAAACAAAAAUAGCAGUAUGUUCUACCGCUGCACCACCACCAGCAGUAGCAGCAGCAACAACAGCAACAGCAGCAGCAGCAGCAAUAGCAGCAGCAGGUUCAGGUUCUGCAGUCAUUGGAACAAAAUUGUGGAGACAUCCAGAAUGUUCCAUUAAAAAAAAAAGUAAAAAGCAAAAUCCCGGAAAACACCCCGAUUCUGUCACUGUUGUGGUACCUUGCAUUAUCUUUUUAAAUUAACUUCUCUCUCAUCACCUGAAGAGAAAACACCCUGAGCAACAUCAGUCCAAUCAGCCCGGAAUAAUCCCAGCCACCGCUACAUAUUACCAACCAUGUACACACUCGAUACAUUUUUACUUAGUGACUUCUGCGUGUCAGCUUCUCCUGGGCACUGACUGAGGAUUCAGUGGUCUCUGAUUCAUGAAGUUUAUAUUUCACAGGAGGAAGCAGACAAGCAAGUGAGCGAGCGAUCAAAGUAAUUUCAGAUGUGAAAACCCUGAAUCAAAAUGGACAAAGCAAGGCGGCAUGGCGUUAAAAGUUUAGUUGUAGGGUAUUGGUUGAGGAACAGGAUGGGCGGGGCUGACUCAGACAGGGUGUUGGGGUCAUUCAGUGAAGUGGUGGCACUGAGCUGAGCCCUGAUGGAGGGAAAUGAGCAUUCCGGCAGGAGCAACCCCCACCCCCUGGAGAAAAUGACAAACCUGUCAUCUGCAAACUGCAGGGUCAGAUUUGUUUUAACUCACCUGUCUAAGAAGUGGGUGUGCCCAGUGUGCACUGGGAAGGGAAGGGGGCUGGUAGCAUUGGAGCCUCGGGAGGCCUAAGGUUAUACACCGUGUGGUCAGAAGCUGGCAAAAACGAAGUCGUUGAAUGGCUUGGAAUUGGGGUUUCCUUUCCAGUCCCUUGAGAGGGAUUGGUGACUGCGCGUGAACUUCAGGGACAGACGUGAAGAAGAGGAGAGACGGAUGGGAACAGGGCUCACUACAGGUGUGGGAGCCUUGCCUCAUUAAAGGUAUUUUAUAACAGCAGCCACAAGGCAUGGCCUCACUCACACACUCCACGGAUUUGUUUGAGCUCCCAAGGUGGGUCGAAGGAGCCAGGCCACCAUUCCCAUCGCCAGCAGGGAUGUUGCUGCUGUCCUCAAAAUGCUUUACCUCUUUUCCCCUUUCGAUCCUUCUGCUUGUAGCUGCCGUUGUAAUCUCCUUCAAACCCUGUUUACCUUGCUGAUAAGCACAUAUGUGUAUUCAUGGAGCUGUUGAGCAACGGGAGUGAGCUAGUUUGUUGGGUGCGGUUCAUACACCUG
ensembl:lncRNA